CAAUAGCGUAUAUUAAAGUUGUUGCAGUUAAAAAGCUCGUAGUUGGACCUUGGACCUGGACAGGCGGUCCGCCUCACGGCGUGUACUGUCUUGCUGGGUCUUUCCUCUUGGUGAUCUGUUGUUUCGGCAGCAGGGAACCAGGACUUUUACUUUGAAAAAAUUAGAGUGUUCAAAGCAGGCUCGACGCCGGAAUAUAUUAGCAUGGAAUAAUAAAAUAGGACGUGCGGCUCUAUUUUGUUGGUUUUUGGAAUCGCCGUAAUGAUUAAUAGGGACAGUCGGGGGCAUUAGUACUCACAUGCUAGAGGUGAAAUUCUUGGAUUUUGUGAAGACUAACUUCUGCGAAAGCAUUUGCCAAGGAUGUUUUCAUUAA
rnacentral:rRNA from 1 species